CCAACCCUCACCAGAGUUGACAAGAAUGAACCCCCUGUCGCUUCUCCCAGGGCUCUUCUUUCUGCUGAGCUGGUUCACAUCCGGACCUCUGAUGAUGUCCCAAGGUGACUGCAUCCCGUCUUGCAGCUGCCAGGAGAAUGUUCAGUUCAUGAACAGCAGCCACUGCAAAUGCAAAUCUGGGUUCAGAGCCCAGUCUGGGUCCCUCUACUUCACUUAUCCCUUGGAGAAAU